UUCAUUCUCGAUAGAUCCAACCAGUAGAUCCAAGAUGGAUCUAGUGAGAAUUUUUUUGUUCGUUAGAUCCAACUUCCGGCCGAUGGAUCUAACGAGAACUUCUUUUAGUAAUAGAUCCAGUUUAAAUGACAAAUGGAUCUAGUGGGAAUUCUUUUUAUCGCAAGAUCCAAUCUUGUAUCAAUCAAAAAAUCUGUACCUUGUUAAUUCUACUUGAAUUAAACGAUAGAUCCAAUAUCAUUGUGAGCGCUGGUGGCUUAGCAUUUUCGCGUCCGGUGACGAAACUGGAGGUUCCUUCGGGAUGCAACCCUCGGGUUCCUUUAAUUCGGUAUUUUUUGGGAAGCAACCGCCAACUUAAAAUGAAACCGCCAAUCGCUAAGAUGAGGAGUAGAUCCAUAAUUAUUUUGAAAACGCCGAAAUUUUGAAACGUAAUAAAUAUAAGAGCCUCGGUAGAGAGUACCAUUUUGUAUCAUUUGGCGUUGAAACUCUAGGUCCAUGGGGUCCCAGCGCGCACAAGUUUUUUUUGGAGAAAUUGCGAAACGUCUGGUUGACGUAACUGGUGACCGAAGAGCUGGCAGCUUCCUCGCACAACGUAUCAGUCUUGCGAUACAACGAGGAAAUGACGCCAGCAUCCUUGGUACAAUGCCUCAAGGGCCUAUUUUAGAUGUAAGCUAGUUAUAGUAAUCAUCUGUAUAUAGCAAUAUGUAUAUACUAAUUGUAAAUAAAUAAUAAAUUAUUAUUUUUAAUACGAAUAAAUAAUAGUUUAUGUUUUUAUACUACGUUGGUGCAAUCAAGCAUAUGUCCCGUUAACUUAAUAAUCUCGUUGAGCUCUGGCAACCUUACUCACCGGCAGGAACACAACACUAUGAGUAGGUUCUAGUUAUUUGUGUGCGGUUUUCUGUAAGUUGGAGGCACUUUCCCAGUUGGGCUCUGUUCUAGAUCUGGAAUGACAUCCCUACCCUACCACACAAAGCGAGAUGACAUUCACAGUGCCCUUACCUCUCUUUUCUUUCCUCCAUACCCGGUCCAAAAUCUGAAAGUUUGUUGAUUGUAUCUACAUAAAAGAGAACAUGCACUGUUGUAUGAAAAAUGUCUGUCUCCUGUACAGGUCGUAAUUCUCAACUGGUUCUCGUGAAGUUUUAAGCUUGUCACAAAGGCUGUCUACAGCAGCUCACAGAACCACUAGUUGUAAAAUUAUUUUAGCCGAGCUAAAUUCCAGCUGCAAAGAUACAUUUUACUAGAUUGCUUGUUGUAACGCAUUUCUAGGUCCUUUAGCUAAAGUAGCUAUUUAUAAAAAGAUGCGUAUAUGUAGUUCUUUACUUGGACAAUAUUUUUAUUUAUUUAUUUUAAAAUUUGAUUAAGGCUAAAGGCCCAUAUUAUAAAUACCUUAUAGACUUACAUACAUAUGGGACAUGGAAAAUGGGCAGUGUCCCAUGGAUGUAUACUGUUGAAACAUAUGUCGAUUAUAAGCUAUUAAUCUUAGUUUUAUUUUAAUGUAUGGCACUAACCUUAGACAACUUGCAGGGACAGAGCUAUACAAAAAAAAGAAGUCGCGCAUAUAAGCAGUUAUAUUUCCUUAAACGCGAGAUAUAAUAAGUUGUAACGUAUUUUAUUAGAAAGAAUAUAAAAUAUACUUUAUUCUUCUUGUAUCAACACCAAUGGUAAAGUAUUUAAAGAGACACAAUUUACAGUUAAACAAAAAACGAUAUUCUAAAAAUUAUUAUACAAAUGCCAUGUAUAUCACGUGAAAAGUAUUUGUAUAAGCUAUUUAUCGUAUAAUAUAGCUGAUAUCAAACGGUUGCAGGAAUCGAAAUAAAAACAUUAAAUGAGUUAAUUAAUUGUAGUUAAUUACGCUUUAACUUUUCUACUCAACGCUAGAUGUCGCUCUAGAGCAAAAUUCUACUUGACGUAAAACAUUUAUAAAUUGCGCUAAUCUCGUCAGUCUUACUCCAUCAUUUUAAAAAGUAUAGACAGAUGACCAUUGUUUAUGGAUUUCUAAAGUAAUGUCAAGAUGACUCUUAAUGUAACAUUGUCAACAUUAAUUGUCAAAACACGCAAUUUAAAAUAUUCAACAUGGUAAUUACAAAAUAGCGUAUUUGUAAUGCGUUAGAAUUGUGUCCAAUCGAAAGACUCUCCAUUCCAUUGAUCUCAGCGAGUAUGCUCUUGAUGACCUUCACUAUUCAUUGGGUAGGUCAGAAAAAUCUAUUAUUUUUUCUCGUAUAGCUGCUAUAGCGUUCGACUCCAUGGAAAAUAAAGGCUCCAAAUUAAAUUAAAAAUGUAGCAUAUAUACAAAGUGUAAUUUAGAUAGUAUUCCAGAAAAAAUGCGCCAAUGUAAAUGCUUAGGUACCUAUAUCGUAUUGUCGAACAAAUUCAUAUCUACUUCUGAUCUACGCGACCUUGAAGUGGACUGUCCUACCUAACCAUUUUUCUAAAUUAUUACAAUUUAUUUAUAUUUUAAUGUACUCGGGUAAUGUUGCAGUUGCACCAGCACCAAAUAUAUGCUGUGAACCAGGUAUCCAAGUGUUUUCAAGUGACGGUUAACGUUUCCAAAGCAAUUUUUCAGCAGUUUUUAAGUUGUUCUUAGGACACUGAGGCUAUUGAAGGUUUGGACCUUCAAGAAAACACUCCAACUUGGACUGGCGGCAUCAAAAUGGAGUACGUACUGUUUCAAAGAACUGGGUGUAAGUAAGUACAUUUGAUGAAGUGGAACUGCUGAUGUUGAGUAAGUUCUUAGGGUACAUUUGUGUCAAAGUCCUGUUCUGAUGACUGAUUUCAUGAAGAGUCGAAGGAAUUCCUAAAUUCUUAUAGAUAUAGCUGAGUCAUUUUUGGAUUUUCAUCAACUCACAAACAUUUUUAUUAAAAUAAAGUGACAUUUGACGAAGUGCAACUGCUGAUGUUGAUCAGAAUGAGAUUUGCCAACUCACGCCCGUUUUGGUUUAUUUAUUAAUUUUGUAGCAAGUAAAGUUCUUAAGAGACAUUUGUGUCAUAAGGUAGAGUUCCAUGAGGUGGAUGAGUUCCAUGAGAAAUCGAAAGAAUUCCUCAAAUCUUAUAGGCAUAUAAUACUUUGACUACAUUGGAACUUUUCUACGCACGCGAUUCUUCUUUGUUAAGUUUGUAGCAAGUAAGUUCUUAAGAAACAUUUAUGUCAAGGUCCAGUUCUAAUGAUGGAUACUAUGAGGAAUCGAGGGAACACCGGAGCACCUCAAAUAUUAUAGGAAUACGUAUAGUAAUUUUACAUAUAGUUAUUUAGGUAAGUUUCGAUUCGAUCUUCCCGUCUAGACUGGCCUUAAGGUAUAAUGAUUGUCUAUGACUUGGGUAUAAGAAAAAAAUUGACAUUUGUCAUAUUCGAUUCGAUGUCAUUUACAAAAAGCAAUUUUAUUCAAAUUAAAUAUCUAGAAUCUAUUUACAAUAACUGUAAAUUAUAUUUAAAAAACAUAUAAGUAGAGCUAAGUUUCCCGUUAUAUAAAUUUAGGUAGUGUUGCGGCUUCGAAUCCAUACACAAGAUAUAUAUGAAUGCGACGUUUGUACUUGAAAAAAAUGUUAUAGUCCAGAUAUAUGGUUGUGGUGCAGGCAGGCACUGCAUGUUACUCCAGAAGUUAUAUGUAAGCGACUACAGACAACAGCGGCGGGCUGCUCUAAGCAGGAGAUCGAUGUGCUUCACCACCAAUAGUGUAUCCAGAGGGUUGCGUUUUAAGAGAUACACGUAAAAUACAAGCAUUUUCAUGCGUGACUACUGCAAAGAACGUCCUUCGUAGAAGUUCGCACUGCUGAAUGAAGAUAAAAUAUCGUUUAAUAAACUAUAAACUGUACAUAAGAAAAUAAAAUACAGAACAGAG